rnacentral:rRNA from 1 species
UACGUAGGGAGCAAGCGUUGUCCGGAAUCAUUGGGCGUAAAGCGCGCGUAGGUGGCCUCGUAAGUCCGCUGUGAAAGUCAAAGGCUCAACCUUUGAAAGCCGGUGGAUACUGUGAGGCUAGAGUACGGAAGAGGCGAGUGGAAUUCCUGGUGUAGCGGUGAAAUGCGUAGAGAUCAGGAAGAACACCGGUGGCGAAGGCGCUCUGCUAGGCCGUAACUGACACUGAGGGACGAAAGCUAGGGGAGCGAAUGGG